rnacentral:lncRNA from 1 species
AGUCGGCGCUGGCGUAGCUCGGCUCAGCCCGGCGGAGUCUGACUUCCGGAGGGCCAGCGGCGCGCUGGCUGGUUACCAAGGUUACCGCCGAGAGGCCGCGUCCUCAGCUGGUCCUAGACAUGCGUGGCGUCGGGGCUGUGGCACGGUCGGGUCCGGGGACACUUGUUUAACAAGACAUCUGCCCAUGUCCCUGGCCCAUCUCAUUGGCUGCAGCACAUCACAGUGGACCUUCUGCCUCCUCCCAGAUGCCCAGGGACAGUGAUCUGGAAGGAAGGGGCUUGAGGCUGUUUUCCUAGAACUCGACUUGAAUGCACCAAGGAAAGGCCAUUUGUGGGGACAUAGCAAGAAGGCAGCUGUCUGCAAGCCAGGAGGAGAACCCUCACCAGAAACCUCACAGAAAUCGGCCAACACCCUCAUCUCGGGCUUCCAGCUUCAGAACAACGAGAAAACAAAUUUCUGUUGUGUCCUGGUUCCCAUUUGUAAUUGGCACCCUAAUGAAACCGUUUUCUGUAGCCCUGGAAAUGGCUGAAAAUGAGGGGAGGGAAAUAAAGUGCUAUAAUUCAGAGCAUGGAGCACACCUUCCUGGUUCACCUGAGCUGGAUUCGGAGAGGUAAAAUGGCCAUUACCUCGUCUAAGCUGCCACUUACAGACACAGUACAGGAUGAGGCCCAGACCCACAGAGACAACGAUGAUGGCCACAGCUAAGAUGAUCCAGAAAUUAUUCCUCCACCAGCUCAUUGCAGUGGAAUCCUGAGAAGAAUGGAGAGAGAAGAAUGAGACGAGUUUGCCGUGAGCAUUCCUGGAUGUGGCAACCUCAGUCUCAAGAAGAGCGACAGGACGCCAGCUCCCAUGCAGAGACAGAUCCAGGUAAGAAACCAGCUCAUGUGUGACAAACUCACCAUCUCACCAUGAAGGUGACUCUUGAAAGCUCCUGUGCACCUUGGAACUGCUGAGACAUCUUCUGCUUGGAGGAGGCAAGGGACAGGCUUCCUGUUUCUAAAGGCGUGUGAGUGGCGACCUUGAGAAAUGUGGCCAGUGGAGCAUUUUGACUGAGUUGGGUCCCCUCGUGCAAUACUGUGAGACAGAACUCCCAGCGAGGCCCACGGCCUCUGACCAUGGGGGUUGGAGUGGGGAAACCAAUUAGCCAUUUUGUUGAAUUGGCUGGUUCUGACUCAAAUGAGCAGUCACAUUAGUAAAAAUAGGCAAACGGAUGUGCAUUGUAUUUGCCCAGAGCGAAUGAGUUGUUAUCCAUUUCAGUAAUAAUGAUAACCAGAUAUGUCUGAUAAAUAUCUGAUAAUGUCUGAUAUAUGUCUGGUAAAUUUAACAAACACCGGGCUCUGGCUGGGUGCGGUGGCUCACACCUGUAAUCCCAGCACUUUGGGAGGCCAAGGCGGGUGGAUCACCUGAAGUCAGUAGUUCGAGACCAGCCUGGCCAACAUGGUGAAACCCCAUCUCUACUAAAAAUACAAAAAUUAGCUGGGCAUUUUGGUGUGAACCGGUAGUCCCAGCUACUCAGGAGGCUGAGGCGGGAGAAUUGCUUGGACCCGCGAGGUGGAGGUUGCAGUGAGCCAAGAUCACACCAUUGCGCUCCAGCCUGGGCAACAGAGCAAGACUCUAUCUCAAACAAACAAAACAAAACAUCUGGCUCAGAAGAUUCCUGAUUUGCAG